rnacentral:misc_RNA from 1 species
UAGAGUUUUCUAAACUCCCAACCCAUGUGAACUUACCAUUGUUGCCUCGGCAGAGGCUACCCGGUACACCUUACCCUGGAACGGCCUACCCUGUAGCGCCUUACCCUGGAACGGCUUACCCUGUAGCGGCUGCCGGUGGACUACUAAACUCUUGUUAUUUUAUUGUAAUCUGAGCGUCUUAUUUUAAUAAGUCA